GGCGAACGCUGGCGGCAGGCCUAACACAUGCAAGUCGAACGAACUCUUCGGAGUUAGUGGCGGACGGGUGAGUAACACGUGGGAACGUGCCUUUUGGUUCGGAAUAACUCAGGGAAACUUGUGCUAAUACCGAAUGUGCCCUUCGGGGGAAAGAUUUAUCGCCAUUAGAGCGGCCCGCGUCUGAUUAGCUAGUUGGUGAGGUAACGGCUCACCAAGGCGACGAUCAGUAGCUGGUCUGAGAGGAUGACCAGCCACACUGGGACUGAGACACGGCCCAGGCUCCUACGGGAGGCAGCAGUGGGGAAUCUUGCGCAAUGGGCGAAAGCCUGACGCAGCCAUGCCGCGUGAAUGAUGAAGGUCUUAGGAUUGUAAAAUUCUUUCACCGGGGACGAUAAUGACGGUACCCGGAGAAGAAGCCCCGGCUAACUUCGUG
rnacentral:rRNA from 1 species